rnacentral:lncRNA from 1 species
GCGUCGCUCACGCUGGGAGCUGUAGACCGAAGCUGUUCCUAUUCGGCCAUCUUGGCUCCUCCCUCCCGGUAGUUCUUAUAUGAUUGAAUGUUUGCAUUUAUUUCUGUAUUUCAUUAGAAUUUCACAGGCAAACUUGGGGGAUGGCAGUGUUAGUAUUCUCUCAGGAUAAUCUGGAAGAUAUUUUUAAAAACUUUUGGUUAGCCAGACAAUUCAAUUCACCAAAAGUUUACUACAUGUCUUAGGAUGUUUUCAGCUGGAAAAGCAAAAUGGAACAAAAUUUGAAAGUGGCUUAAACAAUAAAGGAUUUGUUACUUUACAUAAUAUCACAUCUGAAAGUGGACGUUUUCAUAGUGUGCUAAUCCAGUCCUCUUCUAAAUGAUCCAGGAGUCUCGAACCUUUCUACUCUGGAGGCAUUGCCUCUCCUCGUCUUUGCUGAAGCCAGAGGUCAUGUGCUCACACAAUCAUAUGGAGAAGCAUAAAUGAGCUAUUUCUCAUCACCUAGCUCUUUUUAUCAGGAUUAAAAAUCUUUCCUCAAAAAGUCCAGAAGCAUACUUCCCUCUAGCCUAGUUGGCCAGGAUUACAUAACAUGCCUCCGAUGGAACCAAUCACUGGUGAAGGGAGUGCAAUUAUUGUGAUUCUAGAUUAACUGUAAUAAUUGACAUUCACCCCCUGGAGCUGGGAUAGAAAGCCGAUUUACAGCAUCGCUGAGCAGGAAAAAAGAGAUGGCUGUUGAACAGGAGGCAACAUGCAAUGACAUAAUUAAUUGUUAAUGGAAUUCUAGCCAAAAGGAUGUGGGAGGAGAGGAAGGAGCCACAAAGGGAGAAUCAUGCCUAAGAGUUAACUAUGGUACUCUGAAGCAGAACAGAGAUGAAAUGUAUCAGAGAAGUAUAAAUUCUGCACUAAAAUUCAGAAACUUCAUUGUAUAAGAACAAAGUGGAGAAGAUUUAGUUUAACAGUGGUUCAUGUGAAAAGG